AAAUGUUACAAAAGAGUUGCACAAUGAUAUUUUCAGGAAAUGUUGUGUUUGUGUCAUGGCUUUGGUAAAUGUGGUGUAAUGAAGUGUUUAUUUCAAAGAUGCUAAAUAUCAAUUUCCAGGGUUUGUUUGUGGAGUUUCUAUCAAAUCUAGACAAUCGAGGUUGUGAAAGCUUCAUUACUUUAAUAAUGUCUGAAAUCAGUUGCUUAAAUUUUGUACUUGAAGUCAUGUUACAUUCAAUUUGGUUUUGGAGCUGAACUCUUGUAAAGGGACGCUAACACAGCUCAGGGCUAUCAGUGCAUUGAGAUUAAGGACUGGAGUUGUGCGAUGUGACCACAGCGGUUUAUUUUUCAGGAAUGUUUUUAAUGUCACCUCUUAUUUACAGCAGCAGAUGAAGAGCGCCACAUUUUUUGACUCUGUAAAGGAUUCGGGCAACAAAAACAAAAUUAGCGACAACAAA